rnacentral:sRNA from 1 species
AUAAAAAUAUGAUUAAAAUGAAGACAUGUCUAUUGACUCAAUUCAUGCCCAUGGGCAGCCCAUUGUUCAUACGGUCAAGCCCAUAUUGUCCAUGGACAAAACUGGUAAUAUGCCCAAUUAGACCAUUUUUUUUUAGUCCGGAAUAUAGGCCGCCCAUAUGCAUUUGGACUGGGCAAGCCCAUGGACGUCCUGCCCAAUUGACAGCUCUAUGUAUAACACGCAUUGCCAAAAUUUCUACAUGUAUGUGU